UUUUUAGUACACAACGUCCAUGCAUGUACAGUUGCGCCCCUGAAGUCUCUGCUGGACGACAAUUUUUCAAUUACGCUGUUGCCCUCUCCAUGUUAGUAUGCCUUCUGCAAGAAACUAUUUGACGAUGUUCAGAAAUUGUUUGCACAUGAUCCACUGAGGAAGGCACUGUCUUGUGCCGAAAGCUCUGGCAGAAUUGCGCGUUUAAUUCUGAACUGAGAUUUCAUUUCCGACGCUCACCGGAGGAAAAGUAAAAUUUUCCAUUUCACUUUCAACAUUUCACGUCGGCUUCACUUAAUUA